UACGUAGGCAGCAAGCGUUGUUCGGAGUUACUGGGCGUAAAGGGUGUGUAGGCGGUCCUCUAAGUUUGGUGUGAAAUCUCCCGGCUCAACUGGGAGGGUGCGCCGAAAACUGGGGGGCUAGAGUGCGGGAUGGGAAAGUGGAAUUCCUGGUGUAGCGGUGAAAUGCGUAGAUAUCAGGAGGAACACCUGUGGUGUAGACGGCUUUCUGGACCGCAACUGACGCUGAGACACGAAAGCGUGGGUAGCAAACAGG
rnacentral:rRNA from 1 species